GGGCUGGGCGCCCCGCCUACCCCGGUUGCCAUGGCAGCGCGGCGCCCUCCGCCGGGUUCGGGGGAUAGACCUGCUGCUCACCCAAUCCUACCUAUACCCAAGGUCUUCAGGCAGUUAAGGUAUCGCUAGUAAAGUCAGUGAGGAAUGAGUGGGGCUGUCCGAAGGGAUGUCCUGUCUGUAUCCCGCAAGGCGAUGAUGUGCCGGUGCCUGAGGAAGCAAUAAAGGAGAUACCCAGCUACAGCGGCCGGCCUGUCUACGGCAGCGUGGAGCUCCAGGUGCAUUCAUUCACACAGCGUCUGACCAGAUACAGGGGUGAGCACCUGAGCGCCUAGGCCACGUAAUGUAGUCCUUAGGUGUAUCAAGCAUGUCUGAGAACUUCUUGCAGAUGAAACAGGUACAUUAUGGUUUCCGAAGACUGAUGCUACUUUGGCCUUUGGAGAUUUGAGCAAUGCAGUCCUGCUAAGCAUAAGGUACUUCUGCGAGUGAUCGGAAGACAACCUUUAGGGAGCUUUGAGCCUGAAAACGGACGGGGCUGCGUCCCUCUUCACUGGGAUGACAGCAGAGCAGGGUUACAGGAAGGCUAUGGCUCUGUGCCUGAAGUGGAAGUCGAGCACAUCAAGUGCCCUAGUCCUUUUGUGGAUCCAAAGCUUCCUUGGCGGUAGCAACGUGUCAUUGACCACGUUACCUGUGGGAGUGGAGGCAUGGCAUGAGCACCCCCCAGCCCACGCAGAUGGAUGGCAGCACUGUCUGUGAGGCACUGGGGCAGAGAUCCUGCUGAUUUCCCUCCCUCUUUCCCAAGGCACAGUCCUCUCUGGUGGGUGGGUGUUGACCUCCUGCAGCUCAGGACCGUUGCAGCAGCCGUGCUGCAAUCUGUGAAUACUCUGUGGGGCUUGGUGAUGUGUAAGCUGUGCUUCUCCUUUGGGUCAAAGUAGAGCUGCAGCGUUCCAGGAAAAGCAUAUCCUCUUGAACAGCAGCCAGUUCACUACCUAAGUAAACAGUGCAGCAUUCGGACUAGUCACACAGCAUGCAGAAACUCAUCUGGUUGUGCCAUUGCUGUCUUUGUUUGGUGUUACGACUUGCAAGUCUGUUUGGUUUUGUGGCUUUUUUUUUUUUUUUUUUUUUUUUCAAUCUAUGUUCAGGCAUUAGAUCCUGUACCUCCUGUGACUUUAUGACCAGCUUCAAAUUAAUACUUAACACAAAUCCUUUCAGGCUUUUGAUAUACUAUAGAGGCCUAUGUCCUUUUUCCCGCUAUUUCAUAUGGUGCUAGAAAUGUGCAAUCAGUCUGAUACCUGACUCGUCAAAUUAAAAAGAGAAAGGACUGACUGAAUAAAAUAGGCGAAGAAUAGCUCUGUUAGGUAAAAAAACACUACUGAAUUACAUCUGAAAAGAAAACGCCGAGACAAGUAUACAGCCAUCACUGUAUAUUUAAGGCUAAAUUCAGCUCGGCUGACUCCUUUGCCUAGGCAAUGGGGCAGAGCCUUCAGAGAAAUGAGUGUGCCAGGAGGGAUGCUGCGAUGCUUUGCAGCAAACACAAACCAGACUCCUCCAGGAGGGAGAGGGGGCACGCGAGGCACGUCAGCUAGUGCAGCCUGAGCACUAACAGCCUCGGGAGCAGCUGCAUUUACAACUCUCUUCAGCAGUUGCUAUAGGUAAGGUUUCUCUGAGGUCUCUGGUGAAUUUUAAACCAGCACAAAAGAAAGUGUGGGAAGAUUGCUGCCUGCCCGGCCCACGUCUCCCAUGUUUGGAGCGGGUCUGGUUCAGACUGCACCAAUUAGUUUGUUCAGGUCUCAGUAUGUGAGAGUAUAAUUGCUGUUCACAUUAGUACCAAUUAUAGGGAUUGGGAAAAACAAACCUUUAUACAGGAAUAUGUUUGUGGAUAAAACAAAGGGGAAUGCUUGCUUUUUAUAACUCUAUAAGCCCCAAAUCAGUUGAGUUGGUUACUUGUUCAGCAGUGAGUGUGGUCAGUAAUUAAUAGUUUCACUGUAAGCUUAAAUAACCAAGCUUACCCAAGUUUCCAAGCUUAAAUAUCACUCUUGGUGAUCACUGUUUUCUAUCAGUUGGGAAAAGAAGAAUCUCUUUUUUUUUUUUUUCCUUCAAGAAGAGACUGUUCAGGAUCUUUGACAAGAUUAUAACAAAAUUAUUCUAGUCUGUGUGGGAACACACACACACAGACACCAUCUGGUUAUUAGCAUUUAAUCUGUGGUCACAUUUCUCAAGUAUUCUGUCCUCACCCUGUAUCCUGUGGCAUGACGUAUUAACACAUGCAAUCAGCCACAUUCAUUGACAAAGAUAUUUACCCAAGUCCAGUUCCUGGUGGUGAAUUUUGCACUGUUGUAAAGCAAAUCACGUUUAUGAUUAUGGGAAGCCUUCUGGAACAAUGUGGUAAAGGCUGCAGAGCUGAUUUGGGAUGCAGCUGCUGGAAAUCUAUACAAGAACUAUGAAGGUAUUACAGCAGUUAAAUCCUUUUGAGACUCCUACUUUUCCACUAAUUUCAAUUGGGAAUUGUGUGCCAAAUUAGGAGCUGAGCGUUCAUGUACUUUGAGCUUGCACUGUGCUUCUUAGGUCUUAAUUUCAGUCCUUGAAUUUUGUAAAUACUAUGAUGGGUAUUUUUUGGCUCAUAGAAACAGUAUUUGUCAUAACGAUUUCCCCCCCACCGAUACUGCAGGAAUUGGUCUACCAGAUGUCUGGCACUGCCUGGUAUUCAAGUCUCUAACGAGGACUAUAGAGUGUUCCAUAAGAAGCACUGUUUAGAAAGGGAGUUUCUUAAUGAUCUCUUCAGUUCCUGGAAUUUUAUGCCCUGAAAUAUGAGAUAGGUUAUCUGUCGUAACUUUUUAUCCUGCUUUAUCAGUGUGAUCUAAUUGCGACCAUGACUGUUCCCCUUAAAGGCUUAAGCCUUUUUAGAUUUCAAAAUAUUUUUGGUCUCAGUUAUGACAUAGUGUAUCUUUGCUUGACAAAUAAAUUAUGAAUUACGUAAGAAAAAAAUCUCUUUAUUUGUUUCAAAUCUGGAGCUUUUAAGUUUCAUCCCCUACUCCCAGUGUUGAAGAAAGGGGUCGAUGGCAGAGCC